rnacentral:rRNA from 1 species
UGGGGAAUCUUGGACAAUGGGGGCAACCCUGAUCCAGCCAUGCCGCGUGAGUGAUGAAGGCCUUAGGGUCGUAAAGCUCUUUCGCCUGUGAAGAUAAUGACGGUAGCAGGUAAAGAAACCCCGGCUAACUCCGUGCCAGCAGCCGCGGUAAUACGGAGGGGGUUAGCGUUGUUCGGAAUUACUGGGCGUAAAGCGCACGUAGGCGGACCAGAAAGUUGGGGGUGAAAUCCCGGGGGCUCAACCCCGGAACUGCCUCCAAAACUAUUGGUCUAGAGUUCGAGAGAGGUGAGUGGAAUUCCAAGUGUAGAGGUGAAAUUCGUAGAUAUUUGGAGGAACACCAGUGGCGAAGGCGGCUCACCUGGCUCGAUACUGACGCUGAGGUGCGAAAGUGUGGGGAGCAAACAGGAUUAGAUA